rnacentral:misc_RNA from 1 species
UGGAGCGCUGGAUACACUUGUCAGCGCUGCAUCCACUUCUCUCUGAGGGCGGCGUGAAAGCAGUCCACCUCACUGUGUCGCUUCCCGUGCCACUCCAAGAAGGGACAUGAUGCGCAUUCUUGAGAAUAGCCGACUGCGUCGGUGCUUCUUGGGCGUUUCGACAGCUGCGUGGGAGUACGCGAGACCCGAAGACGCGAACGGUCCGAGCAACAAGCAGGUUGACAGCGAUGUGUGGUACGCCAGCAUGUUUCUGUAUCCGAACCACUGGCAAGCUGGCCACGGCGGGGCACUACCUUUGCCUGCAAGUCCGUAUCGAUCUUUUCCAACGAGCUCGAUUCUAUGGGGCGCACGAGAUUACAUUGUUUCGGCGAUCGUGCUUUUGCUCAUGUACCUUGCCGUCACUCUGUAUUUUGCUGCUGCUGCUGUAGAGGAGACGAUGCACUCGCUUUAGUUGUGAAGGUCUGCCGCCUUGUAGUAGCGCGGCUGUUAUUUUUGGUGAAGAAGGGUGGCCGCUAUCACAGGGGACAUCUCGGUGCGCGGCGUCUCAGGGUCCAGCGCCUCAUCUGUGGGCCAGUCCUGCAGCUCCCCUCCCCCUCCCCCCGUAUGUCCCCGCGAAUGCACAGCUGCAUGUGGUGGUGGCAGGCUCAAAAGUACCCCCACGGCGUGGGGGUGGAGGUGAGAGCGAUUCAGCGGUGCUGAUAUGUCGGCGUUGAUGCCGUGGAUGGCGCUGCGCCGCAGCGAGCUGCGGCCGUGGGCACGCUUGUGCCAUGCCUAGGAUAGAAGGCAAGCGUGCCCGCGUGGCUCGCACGUACCUCCUUGGGCCGCCUCACUGGCCGCUGGUGUGAUGAGAGCCUGAGCUACCCCCCAGACAGAGUGAGUGAGAGAGAGAGGUGCGCCAGGUGGCGACCAGCACAGCGGGAGCGACCCGUGAGGCGACCUGGGGGGUGGGUGGGUGGGUGGGCGGGCUUGGGGCUGAGGCAGAGACCGUGCUCGGGUGGCCGCGUCGGCGCAGGGUGCUGUGUGGGGCGCCCGCGUGUCUAGCGCUGCUCGGCACCACGCGAUGGGUCUGUGGCAGGGCGGCUGUAGCGUGGAGUGGAGCUCGUGUUUUGUGGCAGAAUCGACAAGUAAAGAAAGCAUGAGAAGGGCGGCAGCGAUGAAACUGAAGUGGUGAUCGAGGUGCGAUGGGCGUGCGGGCGCACUGCGACUUGGAAUACGCAGACUGUUACGCGAAACAAAGUCCUUAGAAUGCGGUUUGCCUUCUCAGUGCUGUUAUUGCCGUCGGCGACGCGCGUCACAUCUGCGAAGUUGCGUGGACACCGUCAUUCGUCGAGGCAGAGAAAGCACGGGAUAUGUUUCCUGCUACCCUGCUUCAGGCACACAUGCACAC